GCGGGAGCCGGGAAAAGGGGAGGAGGGUGGAGGCGCCGGAGCGAGGGGAGGGGGAGGAGCGGCGGAGGCGGAAGCCAUGUUGGAGCUUCCCCCGGAGCGAGGGGCUGCGAGCGUUCUCCUCUCCCCGUGGGUGUGACCGCGGUUCGACGCGGCGGCGCGGCUGCGGGGGGCGGGGACGGUUAGCCCGGUCGUCGCCGUCGUUGGCGGCGGCGGCGGCGGGCGGGGAGCGGCGGCCGCGGCGUGGGGAGCCGGGCGAUUGUGACCUCCGGGGGAGCAGGGGUCCGGCCGCGGCUUCCCACCCUCCGUGCGGCCCCCUGAGCGCCCCCCCUCCCCGGCCCGGGAGGGAGGCGGGGGGCACCCGGGCCCGCCAUGAACCCCGGCUUCGACCUGUCCCGCCGGAACCCGCAGGAGGACUUCGAGCUGAUCCAGCGCAUCGGCAGCGGCACCUACGGCGACGUGUACAAGGCACGGAAUGUUAACACCGGUGAAUUGGCAGCAAUUAAAGUAAUAAAGUUGGAACCAGGUGAAGACUUUGCAGUUGUGCAGCAAGAAAUUAUUAUGAUGAAAGACUGUAAACACCCAAAUAUUGUUGCUUAUUUUGGAAGCUAUCUCAGGCGAGAUAAACUUUGGAUAUGCAUGGAGUUUUGUGGAGGGGGCUCUUUACAGGAUAUUUAUCAUGUAACGGGACCUCUGUCAGAAUUGCAAAUUGCAUAUGUUAGCCGAGAAACACUACAGGGACUAUACUAUCUUCACAGUAAAGGAAAAAUGCACAGAGAUAUAAAGGGAGCUAACAUUCUGUUAACGGAUAACGGUCAUGUGAAAUUAGCUGAUUUUGGAGUAUCUGCACAAAUAACAGCUACCAUUGCCAAACGGAAGUCUUUCAUUGGUACACCAUAUUGGAUGGCUCCAGAAGUCGCAGCCGUCGAGAGGAAAGGGGGGUACAAUCAGCUCUGUGACCUCUGGGCAGUGGGGAUCACCGCCAUUGAACUUGCUGAGCUCCAGCCUCCCAUGUUUGACUUACACCCGAUGAGAGCAUUAUUUCUAAUGACAAAAAGCAACUUUCAGCCUCCUAAACUAAAGGAUAAAUUGAAGUGGUCAAAUAGUUUUCAUCAUUUUGUGAAAAUGGCACUUACCAAAAACCCCAAAAAAAGACCAACAGCUGAAAAGUUAUUACAGCACCCGUUUGUCACACAACCUUUGACACGGUCUUUGGCAAUCGAACUAUUGGAUAAAGUGAAUAAUCCUGAUCAUUCCACUUACCAUGAUUUUGAUGAUGAUGAUCCUGAGCCUCUUGUUGUCGUGCCACAUAGAAUUCCCUCAACAAGUAGAAACGUGAGAGAAGAAAAAACACGCUCGGAGAUCAACUUUGGCCAAGUAAAAUUUGAUCCACCCUUAAGGAAAGAGACAGAACCACAUCAUGAACUUCCCGACAGUGAUGGUUUUUUGGACAGUUCAGAAGAAAUAUACUACACUGCAAGAUCUAAUCUGGAUCUACAACUGGAAUAUGGACAAGGACACCAAGGUAGUUACUUUUUAGGUACAAACAAGAGUCUUCUGAAGUCUGUUGAAGAAGAAUUACAUCAGCGAGGGCAUGUGGCACAUUUAGAAGAUGAUGAAGGGGAUGAUGAUGAAUCUAAACAUUCAACCAUGAAAGCAAAAGUUCCACCUCCUUUGCCACCAAAGCCUAAGUCCAUAUUCAUACCCCAGGAAAGUCAUUCUACUGAGGAGGAUAAUCAAGGAACAAUCAAGAGAUGUCCCAUGUCAGAGAGCCCAGCUAGACCAUCCCAAGUCCCACCUCGACCACCACCUCCCAGAUUACCUCCACAAAAGCCUAUUGCUUUAGGAAAUGGAGUGGGCUCCUUCCAGUUAAAUGGUGAACGAGAUGGAUCGUUAUAUCAACAACAGAAUGAACAAAGAGGAACAAACCUUUCAAGGAAAGAAAAGAAAGAUGUACCAAAGCCUAUUAGUAACGGUCUACCCCCAACACCUAAAGUGCAUAUGGGUGCUUGUUUUUCAAAGGUUUUUAAUGGGUGUCCCUUGAAAAUUCACUGUGCAACAUCAUGGAUAAACCCCGAUACCAGAGAUCAGUACUUGAUAUUCGGUGCCGAAGAAGGGAUUUAUACCUUGAAUCUUAAUGAACUUCAUGAAACAUCAAUGGAACAGCUAUUUCCCCGAAGGUGUACCUGGUUGUAUGUAAUGAACAACUGCUUACUAUCAAUAUCUGGUAAAGCGUCUCAGCUUUAUUCCCAUAAUUUACCAGGGCUUUUCGAUUAUGCAAGACAAAUGCAGAAGUUGCCUGUUUCUAUUCCAGCACACAAACUCCCUGACAGAAUACUGCCAAGGAAAUUUGCUGUAUCAGCAAAAAUCCCUGAAACCAAGUGGUGUCAGAAGUGCUGUGUUGUGAGAAACCCGUACACAGGCCAUAAAUACCUAUGCGGGGCGCUUCAGACCAGCAUUAUUCUAUUGGAAUGGGUUGAACCAAUGCAGAAAUUCAUGUCAAUUAAGCACAUAGAUUUUCCUAUACCCUGUCCACUUAGGAUGUUUGAAAUGCUGGUAGUUCCUGAACAGGAGUACCCACUAGUUUGUGUUGGUGUCAGUAAAGGGAGAGACUUCAACCAGGUGGUUCGGUUUGAAACAGUCAAUCCAAAUUCUACCUCUUCGUGGUUUACAGAAUCAGAUACUCCACAGACAAGUGUUAGUCAUGUAACCCAACUGGAGAGAGAUACCAUUCUUGUGUGCAUGGACUGUUGUAUAAAAAUAGUAAAUCUCCAAGGAAGAUUAAAAUCUAGCAGAAAAUUAUCAUCAGAACUCACCUUUGAUUUCCAGAUUGAAUCAAUAGUAACUGAGCUGUUCUUGCCCGCUAGUUUGCCUACAAGACAGUGUGCUAGCUUUCUGGAAACAUGGAAUGCAAGGUAGAAGUUUUAGAUCUAAUGAGAUAGUCAGUCACCCUUAUAUUCAGAACAAGAACUUCCUAAUACUGCUAAAAGUAACACAAGAAAUUUCAGAUAGCACAAGGAUUUUCAGACUACUUGGAUCUGACAGGGUCGUGGUUUUGGAAAGUAGGCCAACUGAUAACCCCACAGCAAAUAGCAAUUUAUACAUCCUGGCGGGACACGAAAACAGUUACUGAGAAACGUGCUUUGACAGUUAACUAUGAA